rnacentral:lncRNA from 1 species
UAUAUAAUACGCAAACAAGUUACACGACAUUAGAGAACAAAUCCAGGACCGUGGAAUCUUUGUUCAUCGCUCAGCUCUUGCUCUUGAAAGGAAUGGCCCUGAUGACAAUCUGGUGAUAGAGUGCUGCUAGAGCUGCUCCAAUAAAUGGUCCAACCCAGAAAAUCCACUGCAACACACAAAAUAAUUAUUCAAAUUUCAAACACACAUAUUCAUGUAUAUAUAUAAUAAAGUAAAAAUGUGUUUGAGUGGUCCUCUAAUUUAGAAAGGGAGUGUUGUUGAACUCACAUGGUCGUCCCAGGAGUGGUCCUUGUUGUAGAUAAUGGCGGCUCCAAGGCUUCUAGCUGGGUUGAUUCCGGUUCCGGUUAUCGGAAUUGUCGCCAGGUGUACCAAGAACACUGCAAACCCGAUUGGGAGUGGCGCCAAUAUCUACAAUUUCCAUUUGAUAGAAAAAAUAUCAGACACAAACCGGAAACAAUAAGAGAAAAACUAAUUGGCUCGUUGGCUACUACUAAUUAAACCAUAUAAAAUCAACAAACCGAACACCUGAGAAAUAGCAAACCGGAAUAAACCGGGAAAGUGGGGUACUUACCGGGACGUGUGAAUCACGGGCGCUUCUCUUGGCGUCGGUGGCGGAGAAGACCGUGUAGACGAGAACGAAGGUUCCGAUGAUUUCAGCACCGAGUCCAGAACCCUUGGUGUAGCCGGGAGCGACUGUGUUGGCACCGCCACCGAGAGUCUGGUACGGCGUUGGCUGGAAACCCUUGACGACUCCGGCACCACAGAUGGCUCCGAGGCAUUGCAUUAUCAUGUAGAACACAGCUCUGGUCAGAGACAAUUUCCGAGCCAAGAACAGACCGAAUGUAACCGCAGGGUUGAUGUGUCCACCUGAAACAUAAAUCCCAAACAUAUGUUACAGAUUUGAAGGGUCAACAUCGAUAUCACCAUAAAAGUUACGAGCUUUGAAGGAAACUACAGUAAAAUUUGGAGAAAUGGAAAUAGCUUUUAGAGAUCUCGAGAGUCCUAAGCAUCAAAAGAACCGAAAUUUUACUACUUUUUUAACUGCCAACGUCCUUGAUGCUUUUCGGGUAAACGCUAAAAACAGAGCAUCUACCCAGAACCAAAACAAAGAACCACCUUCAGAUUUUCCAGAAAUUACAACGACAAAUAAACUCAACAGAUUCAGGUUUUUCUCCUUUUAAAUAUAUACUUUUUAACUUUCUGAGAAUAACUACUUCUUUGCCUUCCAUUUCGGAGAUCUAGAGAAAUCCAAACAUCAAAAGAAUCGAAAUUUUUCUACUUUUUCGGUAAACCAAGCUCAGCAACUAAUCCAUAAACGAUAAGAAGAAGAAAAGAAAAAAAAAAAACGGAACGCAAGGAAGAUGACCUGAAAUUCCAGCAGUACAGUAGACAAGAGCAAAGAUCAUGCCACCAAAGGCCCAAGCGAUGCCUUGGAUUCCAACAGAUGCACACAUGUUUGGUGCUCUCUUCACUCCCAUCACAGUCAGAACAGUGAUGUAAAGGAAGAGGAAAGUAGCUAUGAACUCGG